rnacentral:rRNA from 1 species
UACGGAGGGGGCUAGCGUUGUUCGGAAUUACUGGGCGUAAAGGGCGCGCAGGCGGCUUAUUUUGUCAGGCGUGAAAGCCCCGGGCUUAACCUGGGAACUGCGUUUGAUACGGAUGGGCUAGAGUUCGGGAGAGGAGCGUGGAAUUCCCAGUGUAGAGGUGAAAUUCGUAGAUAUUGGGAAGAACACCGGUGGCGAAGGCGGCGCUCUGGACCGAGACUGACGCUGAGGCGCGAAAGCGUGGGGAGCAAACAGG